UUGGCAACACCGGCGACGACUCGACCUGUGGAGGUACCUGCUGGUGGCUGUCAGUGUGUGACCAGCAGUGACAGGGUGAGGAUAUCGCAGCUCCAGUCUUCUUGGUCGUUCGCUGUGAUUGGGUCGUCGUCGUUAUGAAGAAGUCAGAUUGGCUGGAGCCGUUUCUGGAGAUGACUACCAACCUGCAGUGAAGAGCCAACUAGUCAUGGGCAUGCAUAGCUGUAAAUGAGACGGUUCGAGGUUUUGCCAGUCGACUAAUCUAAAUGACAAAGGUUGUCGGAGUAGUCGUCAAAUCAGGGCUGGGUGGCUGUAGGCGUGAAGAUGGUUGAAAGAAAGAUCCUAGUUGACUAAACUGUGUAAAGUAAAGCCAGCCUUGAAGUCUCCAAACCCAAUCAAGCAGGAUUAAGUGGUACCAGAGGGGGUUAGCAGGACUUGCUGCAGGACAUGUGGAGCAGUAGAAGAUGGACGCUUCUAUACUAAAGGACAACGAUCACUGUAGACCUGGAUGUGUUGCUAAAUUUACAAUUUGACUAAGAGGAAUGGUUAGUGUUGAAAGUGAAGGAGCUGGUUGGACAGCAAUGCUGGACUUGUGAUCCUGGGUGCCAGUGAGAAACAAUGGGCAGUUUCUUUCACGGGCUGCUUCCUGGGGGUGGAGGCCUGGGCUGUAGAGAUGGUAAAGCUGUGAAAUCUAGAGAUAACCUAAAGGUGUUACAGGAAGUUGAAUGUUGACCUGAUGGUAAUGAAGAUAAGCUGGAAUGUUGGUCUUUAAUUAGUGAAGGCUGUAGAAAAUGAAGAGAAAUUAAAAGAAAAAUGUUAGUGAUUGUAUUAUUGUAUGAAAGUAAAUUUCCUGUUUUAGUUGGUGAAACUGCACCAUGGUACAGAUUGAUGUUGUAAGGAAAAGUUUGUAAUAUUACUUUAAAGACCUGUAUAUUAAGCCUAGUUGGUUUAAAAGGAAUAUAGUUUUGUAUGCUAAUAAAUAUAUUAAUAAAUGUUAAAGUACCAAAAAACAGGGUGAGUGGUACAAGGAUUAAGACUACAUAUAAGAUCUCAGAUAGAAUGUUAUUGUAAAGUUAACCAUAAUAACCUUGUAAAUACCAGUAGUAUACUAAAGAAUUAAGGUUAUGUAAAUGUAAUAUGCAGUCAUAUCACUAGGCACAUUGACUACAUGUGCACCAUAAGCUGUUAAACUUUCAAAAAUGAUUGAAGAGCUGAACAACAAUGUAUACAACAUUUAGUGUAAAUUGUGACAAAUUAAAGCAUAGGGAAAAAAUGCAUCUCAUGGAGAUAGGCUCCACCCUUCUAUAUAAUAUUGAUGAAAAGCAGGUUGUUGGCCUCUACUGUAUCUGAGAAAGUGUCAAUAAUUGUUCAGUUGUGUAUAUUUAAUUGGUAUUCUUAAGCAUUUGUGUAAUGUGAUUGUAAGAAAGUAGUGAUACUGUUAUAACUGGAAUAUGACCAGUCUGUUAGAAUAAAUUACUAGCAUGGUUUGUUGAAGAUUUUCUACCUAGAACAAAGUUCCAUGAACCUGUAGAUAGUUAUGGUACUCUAGCACUAAAUUUGUUUCCUGGAAUUGGUCACAUAUAAAGUAGGUUUUAAUGCAAGAAUACUUUCAGGAACCACCAAUGGCAAAGUUUUUUCAUGAUAAAUUCCAACAACUCUGCCAUUGGUGGUUCCUGAAAGUAUUCUUGCAUUAAAACCUACUUUAUAUGUGACCAAUUCCAGGAAACAAAUUUAGUGCUAGAGUACCAUAACUAUCUACAGGUUCAUGGAACUUUGUUCUAGGUAGAAAAUCUUCAACAAACCAUGCUAGUAAUUUAUUCUAACAGACUGGUCAUAUUCCAGUUAUAACAGUAUCACUACUUUCUUACAAUCACAUUACACAAAUGCUUAAGAAUACCAAUUAAAUAUACACAACUGAACAAUUAUUGACACUUUCUCAGAUACAGUAGAGGCCAACAACCUGCUUUUCAUCAAUAUUAUAUAGAAGGGUGGAGCCUAUCUCCAUGAGAUGCAUUUUUUCCCUAUGCUUCCAAAAGUUGUAUGUUAGGAUUUAAUUAAACAUGUUUCCCUGGAAGAUUUUUAAUAAAUAUUCAAUUUACA
rnacentral:lncRNA from 1 species